AAUCUUUUGUUGUUAACAAGUGUGAUGAUUGGGUGUUCAGUCACCGUGGGAAAUGUGUCUCCCUCAAACCUGUCACAACGUAAUUGGCACCUUACCCAUCUGAUG
rnacentral:snoRNA from 1 species